UACGGGGGGUGCAAGCGUUGUUCGGAAUCAUUGGGCGUAAAGAGCGUGUAGGCGGCUUGAUAAGUCAGAUGUGAAAGCCCUGGGCUCAACCUGGGAAGUGCAUUUGAAACUGUCAUGCUUGAGUAGGGGAGAGGGAAGUGGAAUUCCUGGUGUAGAGGUGAAAUUCGUAGAUAUCAGGAGGAACACCGGUGGCGAAGGCGACUUCCUGGCCCUAUACUGACGCUGAGACGCGAGAGCGUGGGUAGCAAACAGG
rnacentral:rRNA from 1 species